rnacentral:rRNA from 1 species
AGUGAACGCUGGCGGCGUGCUUAACACAUGCAAGUCGAACGGAGAGAAAGAAGUUUACUUUUUCUCUUAGUGGCGCACGGGUGAGUAAUGUAUAGCUAACAUGCCCUUUAGAGGGGGAUAACAGUUGGAAACGACUGCUAAUACCCCAUACUCCUUCUUUCUUAAUGAGAGUCGGGAAAGUUUUUCGCUAAAGGAUUGGGCUAUAUGGUAUCAGCUUGUUGGUGAGGUAACGGCUCACCAAGGCUAUGACACCUAGCUGGUCUGAGAGGAUGAUCAGCCACACUGGAACUGAGACACGGUCCAGACUCCUACGGGUGGCUG